AGGCUGUUAGGGGUUGGGAGUUAAUGUUGUCUUUGGCUGGUCAUGAGAGUCUGAGCUAUCAGGACUACCCUGGACUUGGUUUGUCUCAUUGUGACGGGGCAGGAGACGCCCAUGACGGGUAUCGCCGUGCCAGGGCAGCCUAGGGGCACGGUGAACCACCGCCCCAGUUGCAGCUUUGGAGAGGCGCCUACACACCAAGCCCGGGAUCUGCAGCACCCGCUAUCUCCCCGCGGGUCUGGGAUCCCUUCGUCCUCUCUCUUCCCAGAACCCGCUCCGUCCUUAGCAGGCGUCACGGGUCCCAAACCUCCACCCGGGCGAGGCCACGAAGGCCCAGAGCCAAGGGGAUCACGAAGCUCAGGUCCCGCUGUGGAGGCGCACACUUGAUUCUUCAAGAGCGUGCCGAGGCCGACGCGGUCGGGGUCCCAGAGAGACAAGAAGCGGGAGAGGCAGGCGGAAGCCCUCUCUUUCGCUCGCGGGGAUCCGAGCCGCCCCUCUCACUCUCUCCCCGAGGCCCGGAGGGGUUGCCCGAGGCCCUGGCCGCUGCAGUCCCUGCGGCUGGGACGCAGACGCCGAGUUAGAGCUCCAGGCACUGCCGUUCCUGGCUCCGUAGGCGCACUCACCAUCCGACGCUUACUCGCUCCGAGCCGCUGGGGGGAAAAUCACCGAAUUUUCUGAACCUCAGUGUCGUCACCUGAAAAAUGGAUCUACAUAGUUACUGAAAUCAAGGUUGUGGGAACGAAAUAAAAUCAGGCAUCUCCA